UACGUAGGUGGCAAGCGUUGUCCGGAAUUAUUGGGCGUAAAGCGCGCGCAGGCGGUCCUUUAAGUCUGAUGUGAAAGCCCACGGCUCAACCGUGGAGGGUCAUUGGAAACUGGGGGACUUGAGUGCAGGAGAGAAGAGUGGAAUUCCACGUGUAGCGGUGAAAUGCGUAGAGAUUGUGGAGGAACACCAGUGGCGGAAGGCGACUCUUUGGCCUGUAACUGA
rnacentral:rRNA from 1 species